rnacentral:rRNA from 1 species
CGCAUCUGUGCAUGCAGCAUAUCAAUAAGCGGAGGAAAAGAAACUAACAAGGAUUCCCCUAGUAACGGCGAGUGAAGCGGGAAGAGCUCAAAUUUGAAAUCUUAAAGGGUUUCCCUUUACGAAUUGUAGUUUAAAGAAGUGUUUUCUGUUGAGGUUUUGGUAAAAGUUCUUUGGAAUAGGACAUCAUAGAGGGUGAGAAUCCCGUAUUUGGUUAUUCAUUCUAGCUUUGUGAUACACUUUCAAAGAGUCGGAUUGUUUGGGAAUGCAGUCCAAAAUGGGUGGUAAAUUUCAUCUAAAGCUAAAUAUUGGCGAGAGACCGAUAGCGAACAAGUACCGUGAGGGAAAGAUGAAAAGAACUUUGAAAAGAGAGUUAAACAGUACGUGAAAUUGUCAAAAGGGAAGCGUUUGACACCAGUGUUGUUUUUCUGAAAAUCAAUUAAAGAACUGUUUAUGCUAAGUUGUUUAGACUUUAUCAGCUAAUCUGCUUAGUUUUGAGCUUUUCUUUAAUGCACUUUUCAGUUAACAAGUCAACAUCAAUUUCUUUUGCUGUAAAAAAGCUUGAGGAAGGUGGCUUGAGAUUCGUCUUAAGUGUUUAUAGCCUCUUGCCUAUGCAGUCGGAGAGAUUGAGGUCUGCAGCGUAGAUCCUUCGGGGCUAAAUGCAUUUGUGCUAAGUUAUAGCAUUUUAUAGACAACUUGUUGACUAUGAUUUGUCUUGUAGCUUACUCGCUUAUGUUAUUUUACCUACGCUUAGGAUGUUGAGCGCAUGUCUCUCUCU